UACGUAGGGUGCGAGCGUUAAUCGGAAUUACUGGGCGUAAAGCGUGCGCAGGCGGUUCGUUAAGUCAGAUGUGAAAGCCCCGGGCUCAACCUGGGAACUGCAUUUGAAACUGGCGGGCUUGAGUAUGGCAGAGGGGGGUGGAAUUCCGCGUGUAGCAGUGAAAUGCGUAGAGAUCGAGCGGAACACCAGUGGCGAAGGCGAGUUCCUGGACAAGACCUGACGCUGAGGCACGAAAGCCAGGGGAGCAAACAGG
rnacentral:rRNA from 1 species